GACGAACGCUGGCGGCGUGCUUAACACAUGCAAGUCGAACGGAAAGGCCCUGCUUUUGUGGGGUGCUCGAGUGGCGAACGGGUGAGUAACACGUGAGUAACCUGCCCUUGACUUUGGGAUAACUUCAGGAAACUGGGGCUAAUACCGGAUAGGAGCUCCUGCUGCAUGGUGGGGGUUGGAAAGUUUCGGCGGUUGGGGAUGGACUCGCGGCUUAUCAGCUUGUUGGUGGGGUAGUGGCUUACCAAGGCUUUGACGGGUAGCCGGCCUGAGAGGGUGACCGGCCACAGUGGGACUGAGAUACGGCCCAGACUGCUACGGGAGGCAGCAGUGGGAAAUAGUGCACAAUGGGCGGAAGCCUGAUGCAGCAACGCCGCGUGCGGGAGGACGGCUGUCGGGUUGUAAACCGCGUUCGCCUGUGACGAAGCGUGAGUGACGGUAAUGGGUAAAGAAGCACCGGCUAACUACGUG
rnacentral:rRNA from 1 species